UGGAACCUGUCGUGCCUUUCCAAUUCAGUC
rnacentral:piRNA from 1 species